UGCAGGGAGCGUGUUAGGGAGGGAGAGUAGGAGGAACAUAUGUUAGCACAGUUACCUGGCAGGGCACAAAGAUAAAUACUGAGUAUUUGUACCAUGAGGAAGUGGAGGAGGAGGAGCAAGAGGAAGAGGAGGAGGAGCAGGUGGAGGAGGAAGAGGAGGAGGAGGAGCAAGAGGAAGAGGAGGAGGAGCAGGUGGAGGAGGAAGAGGAGCAGCAGGAGGAGGAAGAGGAGGGAAGAGGAGCAGAAGGAAGAGUAUAAAGAGGGGGAGGAGGAGGAAGAAGAGGGUGAGGAGCAACAUCACCCUAAACCCUAAACCUUCUGCCUUCAACAUGUAGAAGCUAGGGUGAGGGCCUUCAACAUGUAGAAGCUAGGGAAAGGGCCUUCAACAUGUAGAAGAUAGGGAAAGGGCCUUCAACAUGUAGAAGCUAGGGAAAGGGCCUUCAACAUGUAGAAGCUAGGGAAAGGGUCUUCAACAUGUAGAAGCUAGGGAAAUGGCCUUCAACAUGUAGAAGCUACGGAAAGGCUAGGGAAAGGGCCUUCAACAUGUAGAAGCUAGGGUGAGGGCCUUCAACAUGUAGAAGCUAGGGUGAGGGCCUUCAACAUGUAGAAGCUAGGGUGAGGGCCUUCAACAUGUAGAAGCUAGGGAAAGGCUAGGGAAAGGGCCUUCAACAUGUAGAAGCUAGGGAAAGGGCAUUCAACAUGUAGAAGCUAGGGAAAGGGCCUUCAACAUGUAGAAGCUAGGGUGAGGGCCUUCAACAUGUAGAAGCUAGGGUGAGGGCCUUCAACAUGUAGAAGCUAGGGUGAGGGCCUUCAACAUGUAGAAGCUAGGGAAAGGGCCUUCAACAUGUAGAAGCUAGGGAAAGGGUCUUCAACAUGUAGAAGCUAGGGAAAGGGCCUUCAACAUGUAGAAGCUAGGGUGAGGGCCUUCAACAUGUAGAAGCUAGGGUGAGGGCCUUCAACAUGUAGAAGCUAGGGUGAGGGUCUUCAACAUGUAGAAGCUAGGGAAAGGGCCUUCAACAUGUAGAAGCUAGGGAAAGGGCCUUCAACAUGUAGAAGCUAGGGAAAGACCCUUCAACAUGUAGAAGCUAGGGAAAGGGCCUUCAACAUGUAGAAGCUAGGGAAAGGGAAAGGGCCUUCAACAUGUAGAAGCUAGGGAAAGGGCAUUCAACAUGUAGAAGCUAGGGAAAGGGCCUUCAACAUGUAGAAGCUAGGGCAAGGGCCUUCAACAUGUAGAAGCUAGGGAAAGACCCUUCAACAUGUAGAAGCUAGGGAAAGACCCUUCAACAUGUAGAAGCUAGGGAAAGGGCCUUCAACAUGUAGAAGCUAGGGAAAGGGCCUUCAACAUGUAGAAGCUAGGGUGAGGGCCUUCAACAUGUAGAAGCUAGGGAAAGGGGAAGGGCCUUCAACAUGUAGAAGCUAGGGAAAGGGCCUUCAACAUGUAGAAGCUAGGGAAAGGGCCUUCAACAUGUAGAAGCUAGGGUGAGGGCCUUCAACAUGUAGAAGCUAGGGUGAGGGCCUUCAACAUGUAGAAGCUAGGGAAAGGGCCUUCAACAUGUAGAAGCUAGGGUGAGGGUCUUCAACAUGUAGAAGCUAGGGAAAGACCCUUCAACAUGUAGAAGCUAGGGAAAGGGCCUUCAACAUGUAGAAGCUAGGGAAAGGGCCUUCAACAUGUAGAAGCUAGUGAAAGACCCUUCAACAUGUAGAAGCUAGGGAAAGACCCUUCAACAUGUAGAAGCUAGGGUGAGGGUCUUCAACAUGUAGAAGCUAGGGUGAGGGUCUUCAACAUGUAGAAGCUAGGGAAAGGGGGACUUCGGGGGCUACAGAAGGGACAAGCCUUUGAACAUUGGCUUUGAACAUUAUUUGUAAAUCUGAGGAUUGUCGUUAUAUGAAAACUACUUCAUAAGUAGAGUUUGAAUGAAUCUCUAAUGGCACUGAUUGUUUUAUACACCUAAUGAAGAAGUUGGUGGAUCUGAUUAUAUAUUUUUCUACACUUUCUUUUUUCUUUUAUAUUUUGUCUUUAAUCGUGUGUUUUGAUAAACUGGUUUAGAGAAGAUCCAUGUGUUUGGAAAUAACGUUUUAAACGAUUUUUUUUUUUUUUUUUUGGUCCUAUGAUUUUAACAAAAUGUCUGAUAUCUACCCUCAUACUGUAAUGGUGUUGGCCCAGCAUCGCCCGGGUUUGGGCCCGGUGUUCGGCCGUCAUUGUAAAUAAGAAUUUGUUCUUAACUGACUUGCCUAGUUAAAUAAAGGUUACAUUACUUUU